AUUGAACGCUGGCGGCAGGCCUAACACAUGCAAGUCGAGCGAGCGGCGGACGGGUGAGUAAUGUAUGGGGACUGCCCGAUAGAGGGGGAUAACUACUGGAAACGGUGGCUAAUACCGCAUACUAUCGGAUAACCCAUAUGGGAUUAGCUAGUAGGUGGGGUAAAGGCUCACCUAGGCGACGAUAUUUAGCGGGUCUGAGAGGAUGAGCAGCCACACUGGGACUGAAGCACGGCCCAGUCUCCUACGGAGGCACCGGUGGUGAAUAUUGCACAAUGGGCGCAAUCCUGAUGCCACCAUGCCGCGUGUAUUAAGAAGGCCUUAGGGUUUUAAAGUACUUUCAGCGGGGAGGCGUUACCCGCAGAAGAAGCACCGGCUAACUCCGUGCCAGCAGCCGCGGUAAUAC
rnacentral:rRNA from 1 species